AAAAAACCUAUUAAGACUUAAAUAUAAACUCCAAUCCAAUCAAAAAUAAAAAAUUCUCUACUCAACCAAUCUCAUCCAAUCCACUCAGCCCAAUUACAAAUAAAAAAAAAAAAAAAUGAUCACCAUCUUCCCUUCUCUUUCUCCGCCGCCGCCGCAGACGACGAGGUAGGGGUCCAGCGGCUGGAGUUCGACCGCGAGAAUCUCGCAGGGAUCGUAGAGGGUUACGAUCACCAAAUAUUCCUCCGCUACAGGUCGCUGAAGGAGUGGGUGCCAAAUAUUAAGGCAGCCCUACAUAUAGCGACUUUAUAUAUAGCAAUAUUUUUGAAAAUUAUCGAUAAUUUAGCCAACAGUAUUUUUUUUUUAUCUGUAUCAAUAUUUAAAAGUGUGAUUAUUGUAGUAUCAGUUAUUUUAAGGGGUAUGUGGAUAAUUAUGUCAAAAUUUUAUUGCACCAAAAAAUUGUCCAAAUCAUGCGACUGUGAUUUAGAAAGAAACAUCCCCAUCAGCAGCUGUAGCUGCGUAGGAAAUCCUAUUCAUCAAUAUGUACACAAUUUAUUAUUUUUUAUAGUUUUAAUUUAUCGAGAAAAGCACAACUAUAAAAAGAGAAUUAGAGCCUUUCUAACAGGGACAAAACUACUGUAUAUUUAUGUCGCUUAGAAGGUAAGUUAAAAUAUUGGGAAAACUUUAAAUAACACUCAUGUGAUUUCGUAAUUUUUUACUUUAAUACUAUAUAAUUUAAAGUGUAUCAAUUUAAUAUUCUGUGAAUUUAUUUUUCUCUUUUUAUUAUCAAUUUCACUAAUUUUUUUUUAAAUCAAUAAUAAAGUUAAAAAUAAAAGGUAUUAAAGUGAAUAUUUGAUAAAUCUAGAUGGAGUAUCUGAAGUUUUUUGUAUUUAAUUUAACGAAAUAUUAACGAAGAAGAUGAUAAAAGAGAAAAAUAAAACCACAUGGCACCACUAAGCUGAUACACUUUAAACCACAGAAUACCAAAGUGAGAAAAUGCAAAACCAGGUAUUUGAAGCUUACCCUAAAAUAUUAAAGUUAAUUGUGUUAGCCCUACAACCAAAAAGGGUUUUGACCCCUACAACUCUAUCAUCCAAGGGGCCACUUCUGUACACUAGCUAGUUUUAUCAAUCUCCUUUGUUUUGGUUCUAAAACCAAGAAAAAUUCUAUUUAAAUCUUCGAGAAAGUUUUAAUCUCUUGAAUGAAGGGUUGUAAUCUUACAAUCCUCUUGGGUUGUAGACUUAGUAUUUUUUCAGUUUGAAUUUGGUUUAUCCAACUGACCGUCCCUAAAGCAAGUGGCAAAGGGUUUGGUGCUUGAUAUUCGAGACCCAAGUUCGAAUCCUAAUUGAUUCAUAUUUCCAACUAAGUUUAUUUCUAAAUAAAAUAAACGAAGCGGAUAGCAUGCUAUCUAUCUCUUAAAAAAAAAAAA
rnacentral:lncRNA from 1 species